rnacentral:rRNA from 2 species
AGGUACUCCGGGGAUAACAGGCUGAUACCGCCCAAGAGUUCAUAUCGACGGCGGUGUUUGGCACCUCGAUGUCGGCUCAUCACAUCCUGGGGCUGAAGUAGGUCCCAAGGGUAUGGCUGUUCGCCAUUUAAAGUGGUACGCGAGCUGGGUUUAGAACGUCGUGAGACAGUUCGGUCCCUAUCUGCCGUGGGCGCUGGAGAACUGAGGGGGGCUGCUCCUAGUACGAGAGGACCGGAGUGGACGCAUCACUGGUGUUCGGGUUGUCAUGCCAAUGGCACUGCCCGGUAGCUAAAUGCGGAAGAGAUAAGUGCUGAAAGCAUCUAAGCACGAAACUUGCCCCGAGAUGAGUUCUCCCUGAGACUUAGAGUCUCCUGAAGGAACGUUGAAGACGACGACGUUGAUAGGCCGGGUGUGUAAGCGCAGCGAUGCGUUGAGCUAACCGGUACUAAUGAACCGUGAGGCUUAACCUUACA